GUCGUCUUCUUCGUCGCCGGUCGCCACCAUGGUUCUACUUCCUUCUUCUCUAAGCUUUGCCAUCUUUAUCUCUCUCUGGGUUUGCUAAAGCUCGGUGAACAACUUCUCUAUUUCAUCCUCUUCUCUCUUCGACCCCCUGUUCAAUCUGCAAAGGUUUUGCCUUUUAAGGUUCAAAGACAAGUCAGAUUUGCUCAAGUCUCGAUCUCUUUUCUUGGCCCAAGUUACAACUCAAGUGUUUUGAGAAAGAAGAUAUCUAAAAGCGUAAGGAGAAAGAUAUGGCUGUUGAAGCUGCUGUCAAAUGGACCAAGCUCUUGAGAAGAAGAAUAGAAUAGUAGAACAGAUGUUGGAGCGUGAGCAUGCAUCUAGUGUUGAAGAUAAGAUUAUAUUUUUGGAGCUUAGAACUAGAAGGAACCUUGAUGAUGUGUAGUGUUAUGAGAGUUUUGGUUUUUGGUCACACUUUAUUUGGCAUUUGAUGUGUUUGUGUUAUGAACGAUUAAUAUGGUUUUUAAUGGAAAAUUUAUGGCAACUCUUA